GAUGAAGAACGUAGUGAAAUGCGAUAAGUAAUGUGAAUUGCAGAAUUCAGUGAAUCAUCGAAUCUUUGAACGCACAUUGCGCCCAUUAGUAUUCUAGUGGGCAUGCCUGUUCGAGCGUCAUUAAGUCCACUUAAGCCCUGCUUAGUGUUGGGAGACUGCUCCAGCGGUGCUACCCUGUAGCUACCCUGCAGCUCCUCAAAGACAGCGGCGGAGUUGUGGUAUCCUCUGAGCUUAGUAACUUGUUCUAGCUUUCGAGUACACCACUUCCCCUGCCGUAAAACCCUUAAUUUUUAAUGGUUGACCUCGGAUCAGGUAGGAAUACCCGCUGAACUUAAGCAUACCAAUAAGCGGAGGA
rnacentral:misc_RNA from 1 species